CUAGUGUUCUCAGUAUCUGUUUUUAAUGUCUCAUGUCACCUUUUACUGGCUUCAAAUUGACUGUUUUCUCUGUGAACUUGGCUGAUAACUAGGAUACCAGGAACUCCCUUUUCUCUUCAUCCUGGCGUUUCUCUUGUACAGAUCUCUUGUUACCUGUAUCCCAUAUCUUUUUGAGUUUCUGUAUUUUUUCCUCCAGUUCUGGGAAUUGAACCCAGAGCCUUGACAUUGAGCUGUAUCCCUGUCCUGUUGUCUGGUCUGGGUGGUCUACCACGUACUGGGAUUACAGGCAUGUGCUACCAGGCCCCACUUGCUUUCUGGAUUUUGCCUCAUUUGAGAGAUGACUUCCUUCAGGAACUUUCAGAAAGGGUUUUUGAGAUAAUUUGAGACUCUUAAAAGAUUGACAAGUAUCUUACAUCAAUACUCAUACUUGACUGAAAGCUUUUAUGAGAGAAGAUUCAAGUUAGAAAUUAUUAGUUCAGUGGUAGGGUGCUUGCCUAGCAUGCAUGAGGCUGUAGAUUCAACUCUUCAGUACCAGAAAAAGAGGUGGGAAAGUAAAUAAUUUUUCCUUUUUCCUUUUUAUCGGUACAAGGGAUCGAACUCACGACUGCCUGCUUGCAAGGCAGGCGCUUAUGCCGCUGAGCUAAAUCCCCAGUCCCAAUAAUUUUUCUAAAGAAUUAAAAAAAGAUAUCAUUUAUUUUUAGCCUAGCUUUCCAUGUUGCUGUCAAGAGGGCCAGCCAAUGCCAUUAUAAUUCUUUUUUCAUUUUUAUCGGUACCAGAGAUCGAACUGUGACUGCCUGCUUGCAAGGCUGGUGCUUAUGCUGCUGAGCUAAAUCCCCAGCCUCACCAUUAUAAUUCUUAAACUAUUUUAUUGUACAGUUGUUUCUGCCUCUCGAAGUUUAUGGGAUGUUUAUCUACAAUGUUCUGAAAUUUCCUGUGAUGCCUUUUAACUGGACUUUGUUUUAACUUUUUGCUUAUAAAAAUGAAUUCUUGUAAUUUGAAAACUAUUGUCCUUCACUACUAGGAGGUUUUCUUUAGUUAUUACAUAGAUACAUUUCUCUGUUGUAUUUUUUUGAGGAACUCCUGUCCUGGGAUGUUGAAUCUCUAAAGCAAGUUCACUUUUCUUGCCUUUUCCCAUCUUUGUCAUUUUAUUACUUUUAGGGAAAUCUUUCAGUCUUGUCUUCCAGUCUUUCUAUUGAGUUUGCUUUUUUUUUUUUUCUUUUUUUCUUUUUGAGACAAGGUCUCAUUAUAUAGUUCAGACUGGCCUUAAGCUCACUUUGUAGCCCAAGCUGCUCUUGAAUUUGCAGUAAUCCUCCUGCCUCCUGAGUGCUGGGAUUAUAGAUAUGAGCCACCACGCCCGGCUUCUGGCCUCCUUUUUAAAUUAAAAAAAAUUAUUUCAUGUGUGCUGAUGACUGAUCCUAGGCCCUCAUGCAUUGUAAGCAUUUGCUCUUCAGCUCAUUCUAAGUAGUAUCCAGCUGUUGAUUUUACUAAGCAUUUAUCAGCAUUUGAUAUUAUAACUUGCAGAAAACUUACUUGCUAAUUAACUAAAAUGGAAGCUGGUUUCAGUUAAAUUUUUUAGGUUGUCAAGGCAGAGUCUUAAAACUUUAAAGAUGUGUAUCACUAUUUUCUGUUUGCUCUUUUAUUUAUCACUUUUUAAUUCUUUUUUUUUUUUUGGUCAUUUUGAGACAGGGUCUCACUAAUGCAGUUCUGGCUGGCCUGGGCUCACUUUGUAGUCCAGACUGGUCUUGAAUUUACAAAGAUCUUCCUGCCUCAGCCUCCCUAGUGCUGGGAUUAGAGUGAGCCAUCACACCUGGCUUCAUUUUUAAUUCUUAAAAUUGUUUUUAAAGUCACUUCGUAUAAUACAUUAAAUGUUAACCAUUUCAAACAUUUGCUACAAAUAUUUUUCAAAUUAGUUUAUUACUUUUCUUUUUUCUUUUUGGUACUGGGAAUCAAAUUUACGACCUCACGCUUAUGCCACUGAGCUAAAUCCCCAGCCCUACUUUUGUUUUUGAUAAUCCCCCCCCCCACUUUUUUUAUUUUAAAGAGGGGAAAAAACCCCAGAAAAAUGAAGAAGCAAACAAACAAUUAAAAAACAAAAGUGAUGAUGACAACAAAAAAAGUGACGAUGGAUUUCAAAACAAGAUAGGAAUUUAACGAAGGUGGUUGUUACAUUGCUUAUUGCUUUUUGAGAUUCUUAAUGUGAGUUAAAAUUUAUAUAUUAAAUCUGCUAGUUGUGUUUCUUUUACUGCUGAAAUUUUACUUUUUUUUUUUUUUUGCAUGUAGUGCUUAGGAAUUUAGCCCAAGGCUUUUGUACUGAGCUAUAUCCUCAGUCCUUUUCAUUUUUUAUUUGAGACAGGAUUUGGCUAAAUUACCUGAAUUUGGCUCCAAUAUUGAGAUCUUCCUGUCUUAGUUUUCCAGAGUGCUUUAAUUAUAUGUGUACCUCACUACACUUGGCUUGAAAUAUAACUUGUUUGUUUGUUUAUUUGAGUCGGGGUCUGGCUUUGUAAUGCAGGCUGAUCCUGAACUCAUUAUGUGGUGUAGCCCAGGCUGGCCUUAAACUUUGUCUUCCUGCUGCAGCCUCUGAAGUGCUGGGAUCACAGGUGUGUGCUAUUACAUCUGACUGUAUUUCUGAAAAAAUAACAUUCCUAAAAAAAGGUCCUAAUUUAUGAGUUGUUAUUUUUAAUAUUGAACUUUAUCAGAAACCUGAUAUUUAGUGUAUGGAAUGUUAGGAUCCAGAUUUUUUUUUUUUUUUUUUAAUCUCAACUUGUGAGAAUGGAAGGAUCCAGAUUUAUGUUUUUUUUUGUUGUUAGCCAGCUAAUCUGAGUUGAAAUCAUUUGUAUUCAUAAUUGUAAAGCUUUUUUCAUAUACAUAUAAAUUGUUUAGUUAUUCUUCCAUUUAAUCUUUCAUUAGAGCUUGGUGUCGUGGCACAAGACUAAGGCAAGAGAAUCAGUGUGAGUUCGAGGCCAGCCUGAACUGCAUAGUGACUCUCAGAAAACCAAACAAACCUUGCAUAAGAAAUUUGUACAUUAUCUCAGAGCAGCUUACAUUGCAUCAUAUGAAGUCCAGACUUCCUUAUUUUAAUUAUUUUGUUCUGCUUUGGUUGUUUGUGAAAUGUUUGAGCACUUGUGCUUUUAUGUAAUAAAACUUCAGAAUGUUAACAUCCUGAGGUUGUAUAUAGAGUCAUGUGUGGUUAUCAGGAAAUUGCUGACAAAUAUGAAGUACUAUGUGUAGUAGAGAAAAUAAAUAAGCUCCUAGAUUUACUGUAUGUUUAUUUUGUUUUUUGAUGAACAGAUGUAAUUCUUUGUUUUAAUGGUUUUUAUUUUUGUUUCCAGGGUUUUGUUGUAUUAGCUUUUUAAAAAUUGGGACCACAGUUUAAAAUGUAUUUUUUUGUCAGCAUUUUUUUCGGGGGGAUGUGGUCCCAGGGCUUCUGCACUGGGCUUACAUCCCCAGCCUUUUAAAAAUUUUUUAUUUUGAGGUAAGAUUUUGCUAGGUUACCCACGCUAGACUUGAAUUUGACAAUCAUCCUGCCUCAGCCUUCUAGAGUAGUAGGAUUACGUCCAUCUGUUGCUAUAUCCAGCUUCUUCAUUGUUUUAUUUUUUAAAGAUAAGAUCUUUUGCUGAGCAUGGAGCACAUGACUAGAAUCCCAGCACUUGGAAGGCUGAGGCAGAAGGAGUGACAUCAGUUUGAGACCGGCCUGGACUACGUAGUGAGUUCAGGGUCAGCAUGAGCUACAUAUUGAGACUCUGUCUCAAAAAAAGAAAAGAAAAAAAAAAAAAAUCUCUCUAUGUAGUCUAGGCUGAUCUCAAAUUCACUUUGUAGCCCAGACCAACAAGAAACUCAUUUUGUGAUCUUCCUGCCUCAAUUUCCUAUGGCUUUGAUUUUUCUUUUUGCUUCAUUUUCUUUUUCCUUAAUGAUCCUACAACUAGUAUCCAGGGCCUUUUGUUGAAAAGAUUAUUCUGUAAUAGAGAAGCUCAUUUAAGUCUUUAUAUCAUUUUUUUUUUAAUGUGAAUUGAACUCAUGACCUUGAGCUUGCCACUCAAGGUGUGGUGCCACUAAGCUAUAUAUAUUCCUGAGCCUUUUUUUUUUUUUUGUCUUUUUCUUUUUUAUUGGUACCAGGUAUCGAACUCAUGACUGCCUGCUUGCAAGGCAGGCGCUUAUGCCGUUGAGCUAAAUCCCCAGCCCCGCUUUUUUGUUUUUUUAAGACAGAGUCUUGUUCUGUAGUCCAGGCUGGCCUUAAACUUGUGAUAAUCCUCUUGCCUCAUCCUCCAGAGUAUGGGGAUAUGUGUAUCAUCUUGCGCAGCUUGGGAUUUCUUAACUGACUACGGAAAAACAGUUGAAUUCUCCCAAUUGGUGUCUAUGAAUCGAACACAUUUACUACAUAUUGUAAUGAAAAGUAAAUGAAUUUUCUAUGACUGAUAGUAAAAUACAACAAACAAGAUAGAACAAAUCCAAUCAAGACAAUGCUGCAAAAUGGGUAUAGAACUUCAGAGAAGGAUACUGGGAUCACACUAGUUGUCCAUCCCAUCAGGUAGAGCAAAAUCAAACUAAAAACAAAACACAAUAAAGCCAAUCAAAACAGAAUAUUGUUUGCUCUUUUUUUUUUUUUUUUAACUUUAUCGGUACCAGGGAUCGAACUCACGACUGCCUGCUUGCAAGGCAGGUGCUUAUGCCACUGAGCUAAAUCCCCAGCCCCAAAACAGAAUAUUGAAUAAAGCAAAAACAAUCAGAACAAAGCAAAACAAUGAAAACAGUAUUAGACUUCUAAGACAAGAGAGAAGAAAAUCUCCCAUAUUUGCUGUAUUGCACACUGUCAUCCUCUGUAGAGAUGCUCAGACUGCUCAGAUGCAGGCCCCAGGCCUGCAUAAUCAACCAACCAAUACAAGCAUUUAGUUGGUUUAUGUACCUAAGUUGGUAUCUACUCAGGCUGUCCUCUGAACCAUCCGGUUGCUAAUGUGGGGGGAGGGUUGAUUCUCAAUCCACAGGCUGGUAGGUUUGAGCUGUUUAGCAGGAAGGUUGGAUUGUUGAUUUCUUAGUAGGUGCCCCAAGUCCCAGCAUCGUGGAUUCUCAGGAGACGCUAGCUUUACUCCAAAGAAAAUAAUUUUUAUUGGUAUAUUUUAGGUAUAUAUAAUGAUCACAUUCAUCAUAGGGAAUUUGUACCUUUAUGUGAUAUAACUUCCCCACCUUAUUUACAGUUUUGCAUAUUUUAAAUCUAUAGUUGGUUGAACCUAUAUAUGCAGAACCCAGAUACAGAGGGUAACUGUGUACCAUUUACUGGUAUAAUCUGAGAUUGGGUAUUAGUAAAUAACAAUACAUAAAAUAGCCACAACAAUUACUUGUCUAUGAUACAUAAAAUCUUUGUAUAAAACUUGAAACUCUUAGGUAUUUGUUACAGGGUUUCAUUGUGUAGGCCAAAGUUCUUUGUGUAGCAUUGAACUUUCUGGUAGCUUAGCUUGAACUCAGGACCUUCCUGAGUGCUGUGACUAUAGGCAUGCACCACUACUACUCCUAGAUGAGUUUAUCAUCUUUUGAUAUAUAAGAUCUAAGAUGGAAACAUUUGUUAUUACUGUUUUUUUUUUUUUUUUUUGGUGAGGCGUUGAGAUAGGGUGUCAUUAUGUAACUCAGGCUGACCUUAAGCUCACUAUGUAGCACAAGCUGGCCUCAAACUUGGAGUGAUCUUCCUGCCUCAGCCUCAUAAGUGCUGGGAUUAACACUCCUAGCAUUGUUAUAAAUGUUUUGUGCAUACUUUAUAGUCAUCACUGUUAGCACAACAUUCUUGAGAAAAUGUAAAGAAUACAGUUGGAUAGUGCAAAUACACGAGUUUCUUUAAAGAAUUCAUAUUUUUUCACACUUGAAUCACCUAUCCAUUUAAAUAAUUAUUUUUUUAGAGUUGCUUUUGGUAUCAGAAAAAAUAGUAGACAGGAUAUUAGAUGAUUUGUAAUAUAUUUGAUGAGUAUGAGAUAGAAUAUUAGUUUGUGAGUUAUUUCAAAAUGUGUUGGUACCAUUAACAGUAUUGAAGAUGACAUUUUUCCUGUCAUUUUUUCAUUAUAGUGGUUGCCAAGACAUAUUUUAAUAUAUUAAUAUACUUUCCAAAUGACAGCAGUAUUGAAAAUUCAGACACUGUCUGUGUUCUUUUUCACAAAUUUGCCAAGAAGGAUGUUUAAAAAUCUCAGUUAUUUCCAUUCUGUAUAGAAAGAACAAUUCUAGAUUUUGUUAAUUUUUUCUUUAAUAGCUUUUAGUUUCUGAAUUCCGUGAAUUUGUUCUCAUCUGAGGUAAUUUCAUUUCAUUUUAUUUUGGUAGUACCUUUUAACAAGGAUCUUAGAGACAUUUAAUGAUAAGUGAACUCUCAGAAUUAUAAGAAAACUCAUUUCAUUCCCCUCCCUCUCUCCUUCCCUCCUUUCCCUUUCCUUCCCUUUUUCGGGAAGAGAGGAUGGUACUUGGAAACAUUUUAAUGUAGUUGAACUGAUGAGUGCCAUAUUGCAAAUAACUUCAGAAGUUUAUGAACCAGGAGGAUGAUAAAUUGUGUGUUUGAUUUGAGAAACUGCCGGAAGCAAGUAAGUAAACUACAUAACUUGUCAUCAACAUAUGUUAAGUAGUCAUUUUUGUUAUAUUACAGAAAAUAAAAAACACUAAUGAAUACUUAGGGCAUUUUCUCCAUGGUAUUUUUAAGACUAUGGGAGUAUUUGAGUACACAACAGAUUUCCUCUGACCAUAAACUAAGUGGUGUCUUUUUAGAUUUAUGUGCUGUUUUUAUGGACAGUUUUCACACUGACACAUUCUUUUUUUCUUUGUCUUUUCUCUUUUCUUUUCUUUCUUUCUUUUGAGACAGGAUUUCACUGUGCAGUUCAGGCUGGUCUUGCACUCACUUCAUAGCUCAGGCUAGCCCCGGACUUGCAGUGAUCCAGGUAUGCACCACCAUGCCUGGGUUUUCACUGACACAUUUUUUCCCAGAAAUUAUUUGAAGUUAACUAUAGUGGCAUACUUGACUGCUUUAGAAUGAGAGCUGUCACUUUUUGUAGAAGAAAAUCUGUACUUGUGUGUUUCUCCAUUUGCAUUCUAAUGUGUUAGGUUGUUACUGUUUCGUUCAUUGACUUGUCAUUUUCCACCACAAAAAAUUCCAUUGUGUUAUUAUUUCAUAUUUUUGUCAUUGUUGAUAAGAACUUUCAGGCUGGGGAUUUAGCUCAGCGGCAUAAGCACCUGCCUGGCAAAUGCGAGAUCAUGAGUUUGAUCCCGGGUACCAAAAAAUAGAACUUUCUAGGUGGAUGUGGUGGUAUAUAUGCCUGUAAUCCCAGUUAUUCAGGAGACUGAAGCCAGGAGGGUUCCAAGUUCAAGUCCAUUUGGUAACUUACCAAGACCCUGUCUCAAAAAACAUAAAAAGGUCUGAGGAUGUGUCUCAAUUGUAGUGUCCCUGGAUUUAAUCCCAGUACCACAAACAAAGCAAAACACCUAGAAACAAAACACAGUCUUUCUCAUAGGAAGAAGCAGAAUUAUCUGUUAGACUACUUUAGUUUUUUAUGCUAUACAGCUAAGCUUAGGGAUACUGGAGAACAGAUGUAGUGGCAGAUGGGGCAACCUGCUGCUUUGUAAAGAUGGGUGGUUCCUUUGAUUAUAGACCCAGGCAAUCUGCAGUGAAGAUAAGAGCCACAAUCCAUUCUACAGGCUGUACUAUCCAUAUGUGUUGUGGUAAAACCAGGAAAAACUUUGGCAUAGUAGAAGAGAUAAUUGGAUCCACUUUUAGUUUCCAGGCAUAGACCUAUACAGCCAUGCUGUCAACAUGGUAUUUUGGAGUGCGGAGGCCAAAUGGUAGAGAUACCCCUACACUGUUUGCUGCUGUGAAUUACAGAGGAUUAGGUCAGGAAUGUAAAAUAAGAGUGGCAAGGAGCCAGGUUUAUAUCUUCACCCCAAAAAAGUAGAGGUUUUUUUCCCUGUUAUUUAAAAAAACUAUCCUUAAAUGAGUUCUAUGGAAUAAACUUUUUUCUUUUCCAAUAUGGGAUAAAUUCUUUUAGAAUUUUUUUAUUUGAAUUGCAGAGAGUAUAAUCAAUAGUGAAUAAAUGGCUAAGAAAAGUACAGUUGUAGAAAUUUAAUAGAGUCCCACAGAAGGAAUUUUGGCAAUAUUUAUUAAACCAGAAAAUGUUCAUGGGCCCUCGAUAGUAAAGAAGCAAGUAGAACCACAGAAGCAUGGAACAUGAAUUUUCAUGACAACUGUAGGAAGGAAAAUUGGAAACAGCCUGAAUAUGCAGCCACAAGUGAACAGAUAGGUAAACGGUAGUAUUGCUAUAUUGUGGUAUUCUAUGCACAUAUGAAGAAAAGAGCUAGAUCUCUGUUGUAGUCAGGAGUGGUGGGGUGAACAAUUACAAUCAGGACACAGGAUUUAUAAUACUAUUUUUUAUUAUUUUUAUAUUAUAUUUUUAUUAUUUAUGAUGGUCACCCAGAGUUAAACACAAGCAAGUGCAGGAAAUCUGUCCACAGCACUAAAGACCCAGAAUAUUCAGCCAAGGGCCUGGCUGGAUCCCACCGCAGUGUCCUGCAGGAGUCCUGCUGAAGGCCUAGAGCCCAUGACAGUGCCUCCCAUGAGUCCAACUGGAGGUCUAGAGCCUACAACAAGGACUCACGCCAGUCUGUUUUAUGGAUCUGCUGGGAAGGCCCAGAAGUCAGUGGUGGAGUCCAGAAAAUCUAUGCCAGUGGGAUGAAGGAACUGUGCCAGUAGGUUGAGGGUUCUACCCUGGAACCAAGAAGUCACACUCAAAAUAAGGACCAGGGCUACCCUGAAAAGUACUGCAGCCAUCCUCAGUGAAAAGGAGGUCCCAAGCUCCUCUGAUGAUGAGAAGAGUUGAGUACAUGCCAGAAAGUCAGCGUGACACUUCUCCUAAAGAUUAAACAGCACACAUCUUCUCCUCUGGAGCUAGGAAGUGAUGCUCAGUGUAAGGAGCAGAGCUCCCACAAAGUGAAUGAUAGCCAUUCUCACCAAGCUUCUCCAAUGAUAAUGGCCGAAUUCAUAUCAGGGAAGCCAGCAUGAUAAGCUCUUCCAGGAGAACCAACAGCUCGAAACAGCAACACUUAGGAGAACCCACAACACCUAGCUCUUCUCCAUGUCUCUAUGCUGGCAAUUUUCCUUAGGUGGGUCAUCUACAUUCAGUACCAUGCUGAUUUAAUUCAGUUGGUAUUAAGUUGACCACCAAUUUUUAAUCCAUAACAAUGUCUAUAUAAGAGCAAGUUGUAUUGUAAAUAUAUAAUAUCAUCACUGUCUCUGUGGACAUGUCUUAUGAAAGCAUAAAAAAUGUGGGGCCUGGUGGCACACACAUGUAAUCUAGGUACUUGGAAGUCUGAGGCUGGAGGCUUACAAGUUUGAGGCCAUCCUGGGCAACUUGGCCAGGUCCUACUUUUAGAAAAAAAAAAAAAAAAAUGAAAAGGCCUGGGGAUGUAGCUCAGUGCUCUCUAGGCUCAAUCCCCAGUACUGUGAAAGAAAAAAACAGCAUAAGAAAAGACGUGGAAGUAGAUAAACCAAACAUUGGUCCGUUGGAGAAGAGUGAGUAGGAUGGGGAAGGAUUAGGACUGAAGGGAAAAAGGCCUGGCUUGCUGGUAUCUAGCUUUAUUUGUAUAUACUUCUUAAAUUUUAAAAUAGAAAAUGUUUUCUUAUUAUUUGAGUAAUAAAAGACUAGUUAAAAAGUUAAUCUCAGAAAAAAUAGAAUAAACUACCACCCAAUACAAAAACUGCUUUUUCCCUCCUUCAGUAUUAGGAAUUGAACCCAACAGGCACUUGACCACUGAGUUGCAUCUGCAGCCCUUAGCAUAUUGCCAUAUUAGUCCACAAAAGGGUAGUCCCAUGUAUAGUGCUUCCAAUGGUGACGAAGUAUACUAAUUUCACAGCAAUCUCACUACUAAAAUUUUUGUUUUGUUUGUUUUUUGAGGCACGUUCUCACUUUGUAGUUUAAGCUGGCCUUGAACUCACUACGUAGCACAGGCUGGCCUCAAACCUGAAGUGAUCCUUUUACCUCAGCCUUCCAAGUGCUGAGACUAUACCUUCACAUCCAGCACCAUUAGAAUUUUUAAAGGCAUAUAGAAAGUAAGAGUAUGGAUGCUUUGGGUGCAAAUCUUAGCUCUGCUACUCACUGACUACUUGACUUUGGGCAAAUGAAUUAAAUUUUGUGUUUCUGUUUCUUUGUCUUUAUAGUGGGAGCAAUAAUAGAACUAACCUAUAGGAUUGUUACAAGGAUUAAAUGACUCAGUACUUGUAAUACACCUAGAUUAGUGCCUGGCAAAGAAUAGAUGAUAGUUUUUUUUCUUUUUUAAAUAUAAUUUGGAGGAGCUUUGGGAGAAAAUGUGCUGUGUACAGUUUUAUCUUACUUGCCUUAUCUAAUUGCUAUUGUGUGGUUAUUUCUGUGAAUUUACUUUUUUGUCCUUUAAAAUAAAAUUGUACUUUAAAUGUAUAAAUAAAAAAAAUUUUUUUUUUGGAUACUGGGGAUCAAACUCAAGACUUGUGCUUACCAGGCAGGCACUUAGCUGCUGAGCUAAAUUCCCCCACCCUAAAUACAUAAUUUAAAAAAAAAAAAAUGUAAAUUUUAUUUUAAGGAGAAUAAAACCAAACAAAAUAGAAUAAAGCCAAUCAAAAUAAAACAGUAAAAGUGAUACAAGACUUCAAAACAAGAUAAUAGGAAGUCAACAAUGGCUACCAUAAUAUACCUUAUCUUUGAGAUAGCUGCCCAUGCCAUCAGAUAUAACAAACUAAACAAAAUAAUGAAAAUGAUACAGGACUUUAAAACAAAAUAAUAGGAAAUUAACAAUGGCUGCCAUCCUCAGAAGGGACUCCCCCAUAGUUGCUAUAUUAUUGCAUAUUGUUAUCCUCUAAAUAGAUGCUUACCGGGGAUUUAGCUAAAUGGCAUAAGCGGCCUGUUGGCAAGUGGGAGGUCAUGAGUUCAAUCUCCGGCACCAAAAAUAAAUAAAUAAACGCUCAUAAUUCUGGCUUUAGACCUGCAAAGUCAGUCAGACACUAAACACUACAAGUAUUAAGUUAUUUUUUCCACUUUUAGUAGCUAUUAUCUCAGCUUGUGUAUCGCGGGGUAGUGGUGGAGCCUUAGCUCUUUUUGUCUUCCAGCCUGCUUGCUGGCUGGCUCACAGGAAAGGACUGGCUUCUUGUUUCUCCUUUUUGGUUGCCUCUGUUUCACAGUAUGGGGUUGCUUCUUGUUUCUCCUCCCGGUGGCCCACAACUGCCUACAUACAUAAUUUUUGAGGAAAAGCUAUUCUCUUUUUAGUGGGAAGCUUUUGAGACAGUCUUUUUUUUUUUUUUUUUUGUCUUUUGAUGGAUAAAUGCCUAAAUUAUACCUAUACAGCACUUCCAUAAUCAAUGCGCUGUAUUUCCCACCUUGGUUUCAAGUAGUAUGUUAUUAAAUGAACCUGAUUCCAAAUUGUGUUUCCAAGAAUGUGAGGGAAGAGAUAUACUUUAGAAAUAACAAAAUCAGGUAUAAGAUAAUAAGAAAAACAUUUUUUUUGAACUGUGAGUUGGAGAUUGUAGAUUCUAGGUUGUGAUAAACAUAAGGCUGUGAACGAGAGAAUAGGAUAGCGUAUUAACCAUUUACCAGUCCAGUUCUUUAAAAUAUAGGAUGACCAGAAUUUGCAUCUUUUUUUUUUGUCUUUUUGAGACAGGGUAUCACUAUGCAGUGCAGGCUGGCCUUGCGCCCACUUUGUAGUCUUGAACUUGCAAUGAUCCUCCUGCGUCAGCCUCCUGAGUGCUGGGAUUACAGGCAUGAGCCACCAUGCCCGGCUCAGAAUUUGUAUCUUUUUUCAUUAGUUUUUAUUAAGAUAAUCUAAUAGGAAAUAUAAGAUUGAUUUUUUUUUUUUAAUGUACCUGGGAUCAAACUCAUGGCCUUGUGCUUACCAGGCAACCGCUUGAGCCAGAGCUAGAUACCCAGCCCCCCAAAUGAGCCUUUUUUUUGUUUGUUUGUUUGUUUAGUACUAAGGAUUGAACUCAUGACUUUGCACUUGCCAGGCAGGUGCUUAUGCUGCUGAGCUAAAUCUCUGUCCCCCAAAGCAUAUUUUUAUCAGAUUUAUUCAGUUCAGGAAUUGGCUGGUUGAAACAUACCUGUCUCAGCAACACUUGAAAUAGUGUGCAAACAAAUAAUGUUGAGUGCAGCUUGGGGUAAACUGUUAAGUGGUUAAUUAGAUUAUAAUUCUUUUUCUUUCUGCACUUUUAAUAUGCUUCCCACUGUCUUAUGUAUAAUAUAUGUAAAUAUAUGUGAUGUAAAUGAUGAGUUUUUUUUUCUUGCUGCUUUCAAGAUUCUCUGCUUUUACCUAUAGCCAUUUUCAUUGUGUUGUUUCUCUGUGUAGAUCUCUUUGUUUUUUUUUUUUUUUUUUUUUGGGUCUUUUUUCUGGUACCGGGGAUCGAACUCACAACUGCCUGCUUGCAGGGCAGGCACUUAUGCCGCUGAGCUAAAGCCCCAGCCGUGUAGAUCUCUUUGAAUUUAUCCUACUUGGAAUUCAUUGGCUCCCUCUCUCACUUUCUCUCUUUUCACUCCCCUCCUCUUCCUUCCCUCCCAUCCCCUCUUUCAUCUUUCUUUUCUUUAAUCAGUAUAUGUUUGUAGUAUAUAAGAUCACAUUCCUACUGAUCAGCUAACAUUUUUAUCAACAAUUUUUAGUUGCAAGAGAGGCCAAAAAAUAUACUCUUUUAGCCAGGAGUAGUAUCAUCAUGAAUAAAGUCAGGAUUCUCAUGUGUCUGCUAGUUAUCUUUCUAUUCUCCUUUGUUAUGUCUCUGUUUCUUGCACCUUAUAGUCCACUUACACUUACUGUAAUUCUCUGAUUAUCCAAUGCCACUUCAUCCUUUUGUUUGUGUUUUCUGUACAUGAAGUACAAUCUACCUUUGAUAGUUGAAUCCCUGUUCUUUAAGGAUCAGCCUCUGAGAAGCAUUAGGUAGAAUUAAUCGCUUCCUACUUGGGACCUCCACUAUCAGGUUUAAAAUUUUCAACCUGAUAUUGUAAUUGAAUGUUCCUCUCCCUGCUAAAUUUUGAAAUAUUAGGGUGGGGACUUACGUUUUACUCAUUAUGACUGUUUGAUCAUUAGUAUACAUUUAAUAAACAAUUAUUGAAGAAAGAAGUUAAAAAAUACAAUUUGAAAAUACCUGGGAGGAAUGUUACUGCCACAUCAAUUAGGAAUUCAGUAUAAGUAGGUACUCUAGAUACUGAAUGUAUAUGCAGAUAACAUUCAAACAAAAUAAUGAGAAGGUUCUUGAAAUACAAGGUUGAAUGCUUUGUAGAUAUUUAUUGCAUAAAACAAAGUUAAGUAAAAUUGUCCUGGUAAUUCUUUUUUUUUUUGUACUGGGGAUUGAACUCACAGCCUUGUGCUUGCCAGGUGAGCACUUACGCUGCUGAGCUAUAGCUCCAGCUCUUUGAUAAUUCUGUUUUUUUCUUUUUUUUUUAAUAUACACAUAUAUGUCUUGAUAAUUCUGCAUUGUAGGUUUGUUUUUCAGAUUAUGCUGUUCUCUUACCUUAACAGAAUACUUGUAACUCUAGUUCUGUUUUAUCUUUAAUUUUCUUUUGUAGGGCUAGCAUAUCUGCUCCCCUGCUGAGUUGUAAUUUUUUUCAUCAUUUUGCCUUGACUUGUCUCUUGAAGUAUCUUUUUCUCCUCUUACCCACCCUUUACUCUCACACUCCCCCCCGCCCCAGCCUCUCUUCGUCUUUUCUUCUACCUUCUUUGAUAAAUCUUAAAUACUUAAAAUUUUUUUGUGAAGAAAUAGGUCACAACCUCCUCCCUUCCUCAUCCUUCUCAGGCUAAGUUAGCCCAGAUUCUGAAGGGAAACCCUUAAAUGUACAAAUCCAGUUUUGAUCUCUGCUAAUGAGAGUAAUUUGCAUGACUUUGUUUGAUAUUUUCUGCUCCUAGUUGAUUUUGUACUAAGAUGUUAGGUUGGAAAUUUUUAAGUUUUUAGUUUUGCCUAGACAUAGUUCUCUGUAAUGGUUGGUUAGUAUUCUUUUUUUCCCCCCCAAA